UGGGGUAUCGCCAAGCGGUAAGGCACCGGUUUUUGAUACCGUCAUUCCUUGGUUCGAAUCCAGGUACCCCAGCCA
rnacentral:tRNA from 1 species